CAACAGUGGUGCUAAAAGGCCUGACCUGGAAGGUCAAAUUAAAUAGAGAAGAGAUGAAGACCCAGGAAAGCCCAGCUUGAAGUUUCCCUAGCUGACUGUGAAGUCUUCCCAGGCCCGCAGGCUCCCGGGACUCAGAGGCUUUGCAGGUAGACGAGCCAAGACUCACCCAGAAAGAGGGAGCUGGUAGAAAAUCGCUUUCACACGAAGCCAGGCCUGUAUGAAGAAGACAGGUCAGGCUGUUAGAAGUGGAGCCCUGACUCGACCCUUUGACUGCUCCGAGGUCAUUCAUUGACAGAACUCCUACCCUUUCUCCUCCACAAUGAGUAUGAUCUGCAGCUUCACCAGUAGAGGGCGCUAAAGAGACACCGCAGGAAGAAGGGGGCUUCUCCCCUGGUUUUCCUCCCAGCGCACAUGUAGCCAUGCCCUGGGCCAUCAAGAUGCUUACAGUGUAGAGUCCUUCUGCAACCCCAGAGCCCAGGACUGGACUCGGGGACCUCUUGCCUUCACCCUUGUGACAUAUGUGUCUUGGAGAAAUUGUCAAAUGUGUCAGCCAACGUAUGUGUUUAUUGAAGCAAUUUUUAUAACAACAGAACACUAGAAGCAAAGUGACUGACCACCAGCGGAGAAGUGGCUAAGAAAAAGAAGUGAAUAAAACACGUGGAGUCCACACAGGGUCCUGAGCAACGAUCAAAAGGGAAGAUUAUGUGGGCCGAUGUGGCAAAGCCUCAGAAUGUCAUUCGACAGAAAAGCAUGUCACAGAGUGAGGGACUGCAUUUGAUCUCGAUUUUGUAAAAAAAAAAAAAAAAAACUAAUUAAUUGAUUAAAUAAAUAAAUAAAUAAAUAAAGGAAAAGAAAAAAAGAAAGCUAAGUUAGCAAACUAGGAUAAACCUCCCUAAAAUGAGACAUGUAUAGGUACUUACAUAUGUAUAUUGAUUUAUUUACAUAUGUGUGUAUAUGUAUAUAUGUGUGUGUGCAUGUAUAUAUACACACACAUGUAUACUAUGUAAGUGCUUUGCUGCUCCUUUCAUAAAACUAUAUUCAUAUUGCUUGUGAAUAAGGAGCAGCCAGGGCAAGCUCCUGCCGCCGGGAUGGACUGAGAAGCUGUUGACUGAGUUUUCCAAACCUGCGGUCACGGGGGAGCUGAUGAAAAGCCGUUCCCAGCAUGCAGUGGAGUACAAAGGCGGCAGCCUUCGCUCAUCCUCAGAGGGUGGGUCGGUGCCAGGACCUGCCCCACCUGACUCCAGCCCUGUUCGUACACAGGGGACACUCCAAGUUUUAAGAGACAGGAAACUCAGCCUUUUCGUUAUUCCGAAAGGUCUCUUCAAGUGUGCCUUGCCGUGGGGCUUUGUGAGUCAUUUUAGAUCCCAGGGGCUAAUUUUUAAGGUUCCGAAGAGCGAAGGUUGCUGCCCAUAGCGCUCAGAAUAUUUGAUGUUUUCAAGGAGUCUCUAGCUCAGUACAAAGGACAGAGGGUCAGCUCCUUUUCCAUUGCUGUGGCAGGGCACGCGACGACUCCAGAGGAGAUAGUUGAUGUUGAUUAAUAGUUGAAGAGAUUUCAGUCCAUUGCGACAGGGGAGGCACAGGCAGCUUUUCAUGUGACAAGUCGUCAGGAAGCAGAGCUCUGGGCUGGAGCCACAAGAGCAGGUCUAAAAGUUCAAAGUUCUGCCUCUAGUGGCCUACUUAGACCAGCAUCUCCUCAAGACUGUACAGCCUUCCAAAUAGCUCCACAAACUAGGGAAUCGAGCGCUUAAAACAUGAGACUAGGAAUGACAUUUAGAUUCAAGCCAAAACAGGCCGAAGUGAAUGCCCAGGAAAACAAUUAAGGUUAGCUCUCCGGCAGACCUGCCUUUGCAGCCAGGUACAAAUGACUGGCAACUGGUGACAAGCCACCACAUCCAGGAUCGAGACUAUGAGUUACCCCAGGCUUUGGGCUUGGUGGGACAGCACAUUAUUUUUCCCCCUGGGCCUUCCCUGUUUUACAUCAGGUAAUCAUUUCAACCGUGGCCACAGCGCUGAAGGACCCUGCUAAAUUUGGCCUCAUUCCUGCCUUGGCAGACUGCCACACAUGGCCAGGGUGAUGGAGGAGUGUUUUUACAAGUGUCAAGCCCCAGGAACAUUGUCUUCAUCCUGUCUGAUAAAGCCCAGAGUCCAGUCAAGCAUCAGGGAAAAAACACGGGUCUUAGUUCCAUCCCAAGUCGAGCAGUUGUGGGCGUGGCCUCGGCACCAAAAGCUUUUGCAAAUGCCAGCUUCAUAGUUGUGAUUUCCCAGCUCUUGUGUUGGAGAAACCAUUUGCGGAGAAAAGCACUUUUCAGAUUGAGGAGCUGUUUUUCAGAUCCCCCGCGCCACCCCACCCCACCCCCCACCCCCAAGCAGAGCAGGGAAGAAGAGCAAGGUGCAAGAGGCCGGAAGCCAGACACCAAGAAGGAGCUGAUGGCGCCUCCCUCAGGGACAGCAAGGCUGACCGUGGCCUCCUGCUGCUGUGCUGGUGGCCUGGGGGGCUGAAGUUGAGGUCAGGGACAGGAGUGCUCUGAUGGACGGGGAGGGUGGGAGAGAGAAUGUGGCACACUGAGUUUUUCCUCCCUAUGCAUCCAAUUAUUGUGAUUCUUAUGGCCAUGACUAGUGAGUCAAACGCGAAAGAGGAGCACGCGUGAGAUGAGAUUUCUUUGGAAAGAAACUCAGGAAGCUAGCUUAUUUGGGGUAUUAUCAAUAAACAAGAGCAAGUAAACUUGACAGAAUUUUAAAAAUAGGGCGUGAACUAGAUGUGUUUCCUCGGCAAUAAGUUUAAGGCAGAAAAAUUAUUUUUUUUAAAAAAUCAACUAUAUUUGAUUCAAUUCAGAUUCAAUUUUUUGGUUUGGUUUUCUGUUUGUUGUUGUUGUUGUUUUGAGGCAGGGUUUUACUGUUGUGGUAGUUUGAAUAAGAAUGGUCCUCACAGAUUCAUAAAUUGAAUGUUUGGUCAUCAGGGAGUGACAUGGGCCACUGUUGAGUAGGUGUAGCUUUGUUGGAGGAAGUGUGUCACUGGGGGUGGGCUUUGAGGUCUCAGAUGGUCAAGCCAGGCCCGGUGCCCAGGCCCAGUGUCUCUCCCUGCUGCCUGCUGAUCCAGCUCCUUCUCCAGCACCAUAUCUGCCUGCCUGCAGCCCUGCUUCCAGCCAUGAUGACAAUGGACUAAACCUCUGAGUUUAAACUAAGCCAGCCCCAAACAAGUGCUUCCCUUCAUUACAGUAGCUGUGGUCAUGGGUGUCUUCUCACAGCCACAGAAUUUUGACUAGGACAACUAUGUAGCCCAGGCUGGCCUUGAACUCACAGUAGCCCUCUGCCCUCAGCCUCCCCAGUGCUGAGAUUACAAGGCAUGUGCCACUGUAUCUGGCUGCAGCUUGAACAUUCAGCAUCGUGUUUUGCUUCCUUGAUAUGAGGAGAACAUGAUAUAAAUGUUUUCUUUAAUAAGUAAUAGAUUCCCUUUUAAUGCUUUCGUUUUACUUUAUUUUGCUUACACUCAGGAAAGGAAAUUAUAAAGUAGGACAAAUGGAACACACUAAAAAUUACCAACAUUAAAAAGUAUUUAAUAC